GCAUCUUCCAUGAUAGACAGCACCUCCUUGCAUAAGAGAGCAUCGAUCAAUCCUUGAUGGUUGAUCUCUAUCUUGAUUGCACCUAUCUUCUCCAUCUUCUUCAAUCUUGAUUAAUACCACCACAACCUGACAACCACACACCCUAGUACCACCUGGCUCUAAUACUAAUCAUGCACUCCAGUACCAACCUUACUCUGAUACCAAUUAUCAGAGAUCUGGUACCA
rnacentral:lncRNA from 1 species